rnacentral:rRNA from 1 species
GACGAACGCUGGCGGCGUGCCUAAUACAUGCAAGUCGAACGCAGUGGGGACGGGUGAGUAACACGUGGGUAACCUCCCAUCAGAGGGGAUAACACUUGGAAACAGGCGCUAAAACGAUACUGAUGGAUGGACCCGCGGUGCAUUAGCUAGUGGGCGAGGUAACGGCUCACCAAGGCGACGAUGCAUAGCGGGCCUGAGAGGAUGAUCAGCCACACUGGAACUGAGACACGGCCCAGACUCCUACGGGAGGCAGCAGUAGGGAAUCUUCGACAAUGGACGAAAGUCUGACCGAGCAACGCCGCGUGAAUGAAGAAGGUUUUCGGGUCGUAAAGCUCUGUUGUUGGAGAGGCGGUAUCUAACCAUGAAGCCACGGCUAACUACGUGCCAGCAGCCGCGGUAAUAC